rnacentral:siRNA from 1 species
UAAGUGUAGUGCAUGUUCGACA